AUGGAGCCUUACGGCUUGUUAUUGCUUACCGGGGGUAGGUGCUGCACAAAGUGUCAGAUAACAUAUGCAAACAAUAGAAAGCAUGAAAUUGACAAGAUGUGCGGAGCACAUGAGCUUUAUUUAUGCACGGGGUCUGCGCCCGGCUUUGUAGAAGGAUUACAUGCAACAUCGGCAAGACUUGUACAAAAGGUGGUUGCCGGAACAGGUUCCGGCAGCCGCGCCCUACGGGUAAAACUUACGAAGAUGCUCAAUGUUCCAGGAGUUGCUCACCAGAAUGCCAUCUUCAGUCUCAAGGCGGACAGCGCCAGGCCUAGUGACUCGUUUCACCCGGUAAGGGCCUUCCCACUUCGGCGUCAACUUGUUGGAAUUCUUGGUGGACUGAACGCGUCGAAGAACAAGGUCGUCUUCCUUGAAACUUCUGGCAUUAACUUUGCGGCUAUGGUAGCGGCGCAAAGCUUGCUGGUAUCGAGCAGCUCGUACAGCAGCCUGAAGACGGUCCUCCUCAAGGAGCAGCACGUCAUCUUGUCGCAGCUGCUCUUGCUCAAGCUCAUCAUAAGCAAGCACUCGAGGUGA
rnacentral:rRNA from 1 species